GCAAGUCGAGCGGAGUUUACUUGGUGCUUGCACCGAGUGAACUUAGCGGCGGACGGGUGAGUAACACGUAGGCAACCUGCCUGUAAGACUGGGAUAACUCCGGGAAACCGGAGCUAAUACCGGAUAGGAUCUAAGACCGCCUGGUCUUGGAUGGAAAGAUGGCGUAAGCUAUCACUUACAGAUGGGCCUGCGGCGCAUUAGCUAGUUGGUAGGGUAACGGCCUACCAAGGCGACGAUCCCUAGCUGUUCUGAGAGGAUGAUC
rnacentral:rRNA from 1 species